UCGGAUUGUAGUCUGCAACCCGACUACAUGAAGCCGGAAUCGCUAGUAAUCGCGGAUCAGAAUGCCGCGGUGAAUACGUUCCCGGGUCUUGUACACACCGCCCGUCACACCAUGGGAGUCAGUAACGCCCGAAGUCAGUGACCCAACCAAUCAGGGAGGGAGCUGCCGAAGGUGGGACCGAUAACUGGGGUGAAGUCGUAACAAGGUACC
rnacentral:rRNA from 1 species